rnacentral:rRNA from 1 species
UUGAACGCUGGCGGCAGGCCUAACACAUGCAAGUCGAACGGUAACAGGAAGCAGCUUGCUGCUUCGCUGACGAGUGGCGGACGGGUGAGUAAUGUCUGGGAAACUGCCUGAUGGAGGGGGAUAACUACUGGAAACGGUAGCUAAUACCGCAUAACGUCGCAAGACCAAAGAGGGGGACCUUAGGGCCUCUUGCCAUCGGAUGUGCCCAGAUGGGAUUAGCUAGUAGGUGGGGUAACGGCUCACCUAGGCGACGAUCCCUAGCUGGUCUGAGAGGAUGACCAGCCACACUGGAACUGAGACACGGUCCAGACUCCUACGGGAGGCAGCAGUGGGGAAUAUUGCACAAUGGGCGCAAGCCUGAUGCAGCCAUGCCGCGUGUAUGAAGAAGGCCUUCGGGUUGUAAAGUACUUUCAGCGGGGAGGAAGGGAGUAAAGUUAAUACCUUUGCUCAUUGACGUUACCCGCAGAAGAAGCGCCGGCUAACUCCGU